rnacentral:rRNA from 1 species
GAUGAACGCUGGCGGCGUGCCUAAUACAUGCAAGUCGAGCGAACAGACGAGGAGCUUGCUCCUCUGACGUUAGCGGCGGACGGGUGAGUAACACGUGGAUAUCCUACCUAUAAGACUGGGAUAACUUCGGGAAACCGGAGCUAAUACCGGAUAAUAUAUUGAACCGCAUGGUUCAAUAGUGAAAGACGGUUUUGCUGUCACUUAUAGAUGGAUCCGCGCCGCAUUAGCUAGUUGGUAAGGUAACAGCUUACCAAGGCAACGAUGCGUAGCCGACCUGAGAGGGUGAUCGGCAACACUGGAACUGAGACACGGUCCAGACUCCUACGGGAGGCAGCAGUAGGGAAUCUUCCGCAAUGGGCGAAAGCCUGACGGAGCAACGCCGCGUGAGUGAUGAAGGUCUUCGGAUCGUAAAACUCUGUUAUUAGGGAAGAACAAAUGUGUAAGUAACUAUGCACGUCUUGACGGUACCUAAUCAGAAAGCCACGGCUAGCUACGUG